rnacentral:rRNA from 1 species
UGCCUACGGGAGGCAGCAGUGGGGGAUAUUGGACAAUGGGGGAAACCCUGAUCCAGCGAUGCCGCGUGAGGGAAGAAGGUUUUCGGAUUGUAAACCUCUGUGGAGGGGGACGAUAAUGACGGUACCCCUUUAGGAAGCCCCGGCUAACUACGUGCCAGCAGCCGCGGUAAUACGUAGGGGGCAAGCGUUAUCCGGAUUUACUGGGUGUAAAGGGAGCGUAGACGGUAGAGCAAGUCUGAAGUGAAAGCCCGCGGCUCAACUGCGGGACUGCUUUGGAAACUGUUCAACUGGAGUGCUGGAGAGGU